rnacentral:piRNA from 1 species
UAAAACUUCAGGCUUUGAAGCAGGGUACCU